AUGGCAGGGGUGAGCAGCCAGCAGAAGGUGCAGCAGAGCCCAGAAUCCCUCAUUGUCCCAGAGGGAGCCAUGACGUCUCUCAACUGCACAUUCAGUGAUCGUGCUUCUAACGACUUCAGGUGGUACAGACAGCUUUCUGGGAAAGGCCUUGAGUUGCUGGUGUCCAUCUUCUCCGAUGGUGAAAAAGAAGAAGGCAGAUUCACAGCUCACCUCAAUAUAGCCAGACUGCAAGUCUCUCUACACAUGAGAGACCUGGGGCCCAGUGACUCUGCUGUCUACCUCUGUGCAGUGAGCACACAGUGCUCCCCAGGCACCUGCAUCCUGCACCCAAACCUUGGGCCCCACAAGGCCUGA